UUUAUUUUGACGACAGCUUAAUGGUUAAGGCGCUAUCGCUUACUUCCGGUAUACUUCCGGAAAAUUUGCAUAAAACUAGCAAGUGAGCUUUGUUCUCUGUAGAACUCUAAAGACUCCAUGCUAAUUUUAAGCAAAGAGAAAUGGUAUUAUCAAGAUUUGUGAGCAUCUUAAGACCAGUCCUUCAAAUACUGAGUUUUGAGACGUGUCAAAUAGAUGGCGACAUGGCGUGUUGAUGGUGUCAGUUAGGCUUAUGAUGUCAAAAGUUAAGCUAUCUUUUCUUCAAGAAUUAUCAAUGAUUUAAUGAAUUCAUAGGAGGAAACGUGAAAGCAUAGACUCGUAGUCUAUGGUGAAAGGGUCGUGCAGCCUACAUCAAUGUUCAAAAUCAUUGUAUUCUACUAAAUGUGCCAUCGAAAUGAUACAGGCAACAACCAACACUAGCUUUAUUACAAUCACCAACCCCAUCAUGGAUCAAUCUCUCAUUCCAUCUUCUAAAGAACCUUGGAUAACAGAUCAGUAGUUUCGUGUGUAAGUUCACUUCUCAUGUCACUGAACUUUCUUCAUUGCAGUCUCAUAUGUAUUUAAAGUACUGAUCUGCACUUACAUCUAUUUAAUAAUUAAGAGACAAUUUCAAUUGUAUACUCAUGCUGAUAUAACUGUUAAAUUAUUCUUCUAGAUCAUAGACGUCAAGCAAAUUGAUGACACAAAUUAUAAACAAGGUGACUUAUUUUUCU